GUGGCUAUAUAUAGGGAUGUGUGGUGGUUGUGGUGACUAUAUAUAGGGAUGUGUGGUGGUUGUGGUGGCUAUAUAUAGGGAUGUGUGGUGGUUGUGGUGACUAUAUAUAGGGAUGUGUGGUGGUUGUGGUGACUAUAUAGGGAUGUGUGGUGGUUGUGGUGACUAUAUAUAGGGAUGUGUGGUGGUUGUGGUGGCUAUAUAUAGGGAUGUGUGGUGGUUGUGGUGACUAUAUAUAGGGAUGUGUGGUGGUUGUGGUGACUAUAUAUAGGGAUGUGUGGUGGUUGUGGUGACUAUAUAUAGGGAUGUGUGGUGGUUGUGGUGACUAUAUGUAGGGAUGUGUGGUGGUUGUGGUGACUAUAUGUAGGGAUGUGUGGUGGUUGUGGUGACUAUAUGUAGGGAUGUGUGGUGGUUGUGGUGACUAUAUAUAGGGAUGUGUGGUGGUUGUGGUGACUAUAUAUAGGGAUGUGUGGUGGUUGUGGUGACUAUAUGUAGGGAUGUGUGGUGGUUGUGGUGACUAUAUAUAGGGAUGUGUGGUGGUUGUGGUGGCUAUAUAUAGGGAUGUGUGGUUGUGGUGAUGUGUCCUGUCCCCCACACCCAGGAGCUGCCGUGACGGAGGCCUGACUCGGCGCCUGUGUCCUGUCCCCCACACCCAGGAGCUGCCGUGACAGAGGCCUGACUCGGCGCCUGUGUCCUGUCCCCCAUACCCAGGAGCUGCCAUGACGGAGGCCUGACUCGGCGCCUGUGUCCUGUCCCCCCACACCCAGGAGCUGCCGUGACGGAGGCCUGACUCGGCGCCUGUGUCCUGUCCCCCACACCCAGGAGCUGCCGUGACGGAGGCCUGACUCGGCGCCUGUGUCCUGUCCCCCACACCCAGGAGCUGCCGUGACGGAGGCCUGACUCGGCGCCUGUGUCCUGUCCCCAACACCCAGGAUGAUUGAAUGUUUCCUUCCUUCACUUUUCAUUUUCUUGUUUUCUAUUUGACCCAUCUCUCCUCCUCCUCUUCUGUCUAUCUUCAUCCCUUCCUUCCUUUUAAUAAUUUUUAAUUUAAUAAUUUAAUAAUUGCGUGACUUUCUUUCUGGUGGUCAAAUCUCGCAUCCCAUUUCCUAUCGUCCAUUCUCUCUCCUCCUCCUCCUCCUCUUCCUCCUCUCUCUAUAUAUAUCUUCAUCCCGUCCUUCCUUUUAAUUAAUGUCUAAGUUAUCCUUUGAGUGACCUUUCUGGUGGUCAAAUCUUGCAUCCAAUUUCCUAUCGUCCAUUCUCUCUCUCCCUCCUCCUCCUCCUCCUCCUCUGGCUAUCUUCAUCCCUUCUUUCCUUUUAAUUAAUGACUAAGUUAUCUUUUGCUCAAUGUUCUUUCCAGUGUGCUUGCUAGUUUGUUUUGUCACUGUAUAAUUGUCAAUCCUAGUUUUUGUCACUGUAUAAUUGUCAAUCCUAGUUUGUUUUGUCAUUGUAUAAUUGUCAGUCCUAGUUUGUUUUAUCACUGUAUAAUUGUCAGUCCCAGCCAGGCGCCUCUUCCAUGUAAAGAUAUCGGCAGCUUCAAGCCUUGCCGAUAUCUCAAUCCGUACGUGAAUGUAAAUUAGCCGAAAUCCUUAUUACUAAGCCCUGCACGGUGCUCUCUCACAUAAUGCUUCUUUAAAUUUUCAGUCUCACUUAACUUCCGGGGUUAGUAAUAUAUUUUGCCAUGAGUUAACUCCCCGUGAUGGCCAGUUUCAUGUACUAUAUAUAAGUAAUUUGCCUUUUGCAUGGCUAUAAUUCUGCAUCCGUGUCUAAGGCCCAGUUUCACAGUUCCUCAUGAUGGGUUAGUAAGCUCCGAAACCAAUACCAGAGCCUUCGAAAUUUCCUUGUACGGUGUCUGGAGUUUAUAUUCAAGUUCACAAAUUUGAUGAGACUAUACAGGAAAGGUCUUGUGUGUUUAUGCUACGAAGGAAAGGGAGGAGAAGGGAGAUGAGAUUGGGAGACGAGUGAGCCGAGAUCCUGUUUAUAUUCAAGUUCACAAAUUUGACAAGACUAUACAGGAAAGGUCUUAUAUUGUCAUGAUACGAAGGAAAGGGAAGAGAAGGGAGAUGAGAUUGGGAGACGAGUGAGCCGAGAUCCUGUUUAUAUUCAAGUUCACAAAUUUGACAAGACUAUACAGGAAAAGCUCUGUGUUUAUGAUAUGAAGGAAAGGGAAGAGAAGGGAGAU